GAUGAACGCUGGCGGCGUGCCUAAUACAUGCCAGUCGAGCGAACAGACGAGGAGCUUGCUCCUCUAACGUUAGCGGCGGACGGGUGAGUAACACGUGGAUAACCUACCUAUAAGACUGGGAUAACUUCGGGAAACCGGAGCUAAUACCGGAUAAUAUAUUGAACCGCAUGGUUCAAUAGUGAAAGACGGUUUUGCUGUCACUUAUAGAUGGAUCCGCGCCGCAUUAGCUAGUUGGUAAGGUAACAGCUUACCAAGGCAACGAUGCGUAGCCGACCUGAGAGGGUGAUCGGCCACACUGGAACUGAGACACGGUCCAGACUCCUACGGGAGGCAGCAGUAGGGAAUCUUCCGCAAUGGGCGAAAGCCUGACGGAGCAACGCCGCGUGAGUGAUGAAGGUCUUCGGAUCGUAAAACUCUGUUAUUAGGGAAGAACAAAUGUGUAAGUAACUAUGCACGUCUUGACGGUACCUAAUCAGAAAGCCACGGCUAACUACGUG
rnacentral:rRNA from 1 species